AACAUACAGUUUUGGUCCUAGACUUGUUGCUAUUUGUAAUCAAAAUUAUACAUGCAAGUAUCCGCAUACCAGUGAAAAUGCCCAUAACAAAGGAGCAGGCAUCAGGCACGAACACUCAGCCCAAGACACCUUGCUACGCCACACCCCCACGGGUAAUCAGCAGUAAUAAAUAUUAAGCCAUGAUCAAAAGCUUGACUUAGUUAUGAUUAAUAGGGCCGGUAAACCUCGUGCCAGCCACCGCGGUUAUACAAGGGACCCAAAAUAGCUAAACCACGGCGUAAAUUGUGACUAGAAUAUUCCAACAUCAAAAUUACAACCAUAUCCUAACCGUAAAACACAGGACAAAAGAAUUCCAAAAUUUUUGCAUAACGGAAAUUUGACUACACGAAGACUAAGAAACAAACUAGGAUUAGAUACCCUACUAUGCUUAGUUGUAAAUAAGAUAUGAUUAACACACUAUAUCCGCCAGAAAAUUACAAGCGAAAAGCUUAAAAUCCAAAGGACUUGGCGGUGCCCCACAUCAACUUAGAGGAGCCUGUCCUAUAACUGAUAAUCCACAAUACACCUUCCCCUCCAUUGCCAAUCAGCCUAUAUACCGCCGUCGAAAAUCUACCCUAUGAAGGAUAAACAGUAGAUAUAAUAACUCACCAGUUAAAACGUCAGGUCAAGGUGUAGCUAAUAGGAGGGUAGAGAUGGGCUACAUUUUUUAAUACUAAACAACAACGGCAAAGCACUAUGAAACAAGCACUAAAAGGCGGAUUUAAUAGUAAGAUUAACAAGAAAAUUAAUCUUAAACCUGCCCUGGAGCGCGCACACACCGCCCGUCACCCUCAUUAACCACAUAAUAGUCAUUUAUAAACAAAACCUGAUUAAAAGAUGAGGAAAGUCGUAACAUGGUAAGUAUACCGGAAGGUAUGCUUAGAUUAACCAAAAAGUAGCUUAAAUAAAGCACCCAACUUACAAUUGAGAUAUGUUAGCACACCCUAACCUUUUUGCGCUACAACAAAAGCCCAACAUAUUAUACAAAUUAAGCCAUAAUAAACAAACCAUUUGACAAACCCAGUAGAGGCGAUCGAAC
rnacentral:ncRNA from 1 species